rnacentral:misc_RNA from 1 species
GCUCACCGCUAUGAUACAUCACAGCGUGCAUAUGUCCAUGUGCAAGCAGAUCUGUGUGCGUUGAGCCCGAGGUGUUACAACUACGACUCCUUUGAACUUCUCGGAAAGGGGCAGAGAAGAGGGGCCGGCGGUGAGUUACCACCACUGCGGCUCUCACAUAUACGGAUUCAGAAGCGCCUCUUCGUACCUGCGUGCACGUUUUCUGUUCCCUUCUCGGAGUCCCGCUCAAACUGCGGGCAGAGAGAGUGAGCUUUUGUGUGGUAAGCUGCUUUCAAAUUGUGUGCGUGACAGGGAACAGGAGAGUCGACGCACUCGCUUUCUCUCUAUCUGUUCCCGCCCCCUUGUAGAGACUUUCUUCUCCAGCAAUGCUCGACUCGCCACCGGCGUUGUAUGCCAGCCAGGAGCCAGUUUCUGCUGGUCCCCAGGCGGAGGCGGCGGAGAUUAUGGGGUCAACGCCCGCCCGCCAUGCGAUGCCAUUCUACCCGGUGCUCAUUGAGGUUGCCGGGAGCAUGGACGACGCAAUUGUGCGCGAUGUGACACAGCGCCUGCGUCGCUACCGAAACCGCUAUCAGCCGCUGCUGCGGUGCAUGUUUACAUUGGUCGCCACCGCCGUUCCAGAGGCGCGGCUGUUUGGCGACGACAGUGCCGCUGCCUUAGAGGCUCAGCCCAACCCAACCACCGCAGCUGCGGGCCAGCUGUUCACUGCGCCCAAGAACGCGGUGUCGGUCAACAAGAUCCACCCGCUCGUGUCGCGCUUCUAUCCACAUCAGCUCGUAUGCGCGCAACAGAAGAGUCGCAGUGACUACACCACUGGUGUGGAGCCAGCCGCGCUGCCCGGUGCGCCCUCUGGUGCCCUCCAGCCGUGCUGGAUGGAUGACCCAGCGACGGCGGCGCUCUCUGGUGUCACCACCGCUGCCGACUGUCAUGAUCGUGCCGUUCGGAGGGUGGAGGACUUCAUGGCGUAUCAUUUCCUGCCGCUCGCCAUGACGCACAACUGCUCCCCACCGGAGGCGAUCUCUACAUCGGCCAAAGCGUUCGUGUUGCGACACUACGUGAACGAGGCGAGCCGCACGUCCUCGUUCCUGCUUGCGGAUCCCUUCUACGCCUCUGCAAGUGUCCCGGCAGACGCCGUUGCAGGAGCGGCCAUCAUCGACCCGCGGGCAGAGCAGCUAGAGGCUUAUGCCGCGGACCUGAGCCGUAUUGGUGUCACCCUCAGCUGUAUCAUUUUCACGCACUGCUACGUCGACGGCGCCUCGGGGCUGGCCGAGCUCAUUGAGAGCUUCCCGGCUGCCCGCGUCGUCUCCGGAAUCCCUCUUGGGCCCGCCGGCACCACAGAGGACGUGCAGCUGAGCCCUCGCCUACGACUCCGAACCGUGCGGGUGCCAGCCUUCUCACCAGAGUGUCUGCUUGCAGAGAUUUACUUUUGUGACAUGCUCAAGGGUUUGUGCACGGGCGUUCUGUGGAGCACCGACGCUGCACCUCGCUGUGACCUGCUUCAGUGGUCUGCUUUUCCCCGCGAGACGGGACACGUACCUACGCUGCCUCCCUCCUCCAUCAACAGCGACAGUGGUGACCGCGACGCGGCCCUGGCGCACACUCACGAGAUGCUCAAGAAGUACUUGUUCGAUGCCUACUUUUCGCCGCUCUGCGCCAGUGUUAGCGAGCCGAGUCGGCCAAGCGGGAGAGCCGCCAAAUCGGCCCGCACCGAAGAGGCUCUGGCGAACCAGGAGGAACAGAUGGAGGAGGCGACUCUGGAAAGCGAAGGUUUGGAGCAGGUUGUGCUGCUCCCCACUCACGGCGGGUACAACAACGUGACCAGUCAGCUGGACCUCUACUGGGCGGUGUAUCUCGGCGACCUGACUCGUAUGAAGCACUCCCGCGCCGUUAUCGACGCGCUCGCCACGACAGCAGAGGCGUUCGCCAGUUACAACAGACGCUUACCACCGCUGCCGCACCCGCCGUCCUUCGAUACCAGUCGUGUGGUGCAUCUUCGUCAACUACUUGCGUUACUACGGCCUGAGCAGCGGGCAACAUGCUUGGCGCAGCUUCCUGCCGACAUGCAGCACGCACUGCGGUACUCCUUCGACCCUUCAGCCGCGCACAGUGCACUCGGCGACGCGUCGAAUGCGUCUCGCCGGCAGUUUGCUUCUUUUUCUUCGUAUGUGAACCUCGUCGACGUGCGCGAUGCCAACGACUAUCACGCGCUGCACCUCUGCGGCGCCGUCAACGUACCAAUGAGCUUCCCGGGCGUGGCCUAUGGUGCCCGAAGAGCGGAGUUGUGGCUUCAAUGCGUAAUCGUUCCGUUUCAGCCUAUUGUGGCCCUCUGUGCAACCGAGGAGCAGCGAGCCGAGUUGUCGCGACGCCUCUCAGCGCUGUCCCCAGAGAGUCGCGUGCAUGUCUUUACGCUGGCCGACUUGUCAGACGCGUUGAAAUUCCCGCCGAGGCACUCGACGCGAGGCGGGCAGGCAACUGCAACGGAGCUGCCGUGGCGUGAGGUGUCGUGCGACGUGCCCACAAGUGUGUCUGCCGAUGUGCCCCUUCCUCGCAACCUGCUUUGGAUCCAGCGCGACGACGCGCUCGCGAACUUGACAUCGUACGAAGACCUCACGGCAGCUGAACCCACCGAUACGCGCGUCGUGCUCGACGUGCGCACGCCGUACGAGUUUAAAAACGGCUCACACCAGCAUAGUGUGCACGUGGGGCUGGCUCAGCUAUGCGCCAUGGUGGUCGAAGACGUCGUCGAGGCAUCGCGGCCGCUGUCGCAGUGGCACUGCGGUAGCUCACCAAGGCUGGCGGACGCCUACGUGAAGAUCAUACACACAGCGGCGCUCACGGCGCGCCUCCCUGUCGUGUGGCAGGAAGCGUCUCUCUCCGACGUCGUCAUCUACUGUGCUGGUGGGUAUCGCUCACUAAUCGCGUCGUCGCUGCUGCAGCGCGCCAUUGAAGCUUCUGCCACCCCUGCAUGGCGCAAGUUGCACAUCUCCAACGUUUCGGGUGGCGCCUUUCAAAUCAUGACGCAACGGCCAGACCUGUGGCAGGUCAAGGACCGCUCCGUUGUGUGCAUUAGCUGACCCAGGUAAGAGGGGGACAUGACGAAAACGAAAAAAGAACAGUGACAACAGCAGCGACGUACGUCCCCCUUCCUGCCCAAUCCUUUCGGUGUCCCUCCGAAGUCGAACCUGCUCUAGAUGCCGUCCUCAGCUUCUUCGCCCUCUCCGCAUACGCGUUUUAUGUUUGCGUGUGCGUGUGCGUCAUCUCUCUCUCUCUCUCCAGUAGCGCAUGCCGCUCGGCGAAAAUAGACGCGCAUUGCGGAAUGCAAAUAAAAUAGAAAGACGAGAGGGGCCGCAAAGAAGUGCGGCUUGACUGCCGACCCGGGGAGGAGGCGCGAAGUGCGCCACCCCCUGGAUUUCUCGAUGGAGGCAUGGACGUGCGUUCCUUGGUGUGUAUGACUUAUUCCAUUUUUGUAUGACGCUCUUUGGAACAAACCACCCCAAAAAACAACAACGGAAACAGAGCGCCCAACUCGCACGUUCGUUCCCUCCCCCUUCUUUCUCGAACGACAGAAAGAAAUAGAACGCUGUGUGUUGUGGGCUCCUUACCCCCUUCCCCAACUUCUCGACCCUUUCCUUUCUCUGCCUUCUCGUUCUCUCGAAAGCCUGCGUGCCUGUUGCGCGCACGUGAGCGACUGCCGGGCCUCAUCAUUCCAAGGAAGAGAAAGAAAGGGGAGCGGAGCAGGAGGGGAGAGAGGAAGGGAGGGAGGGGGAGAGGCUCAUGCGAAAGACGUGUGCGUAUGGGUGCCGCCUUUCCGUGGUAUCCAAGGGCUGAUUUUUUUUUACUGAAUACACACACAGGGACGCUAGGCGCAGCUUUAUGAGCGUGUCACGUACGCAGGCGCUGAGUCUGGACAUCGAGACCGCAAACAUAACACGGCAUGCGCACCCCUUUUCUUUUCUGCAAUGUUUCGACAUCUCUCUCUUCUCGGGUGGUGUUUUGCCUCCAAG